UGAUAAAUGAAUGGAACGGAUUUUUGCAUACAAUAUAUGAUCAAUAUAUGAUCAAGUGUUCAUUACUUGUGAGUUAUGCCAUAGAAGCUGGUGUCUGCUGCCGGUCAGGCUUGUUCAGCUUUUCUGCCUGUUAAGGGAGAAAAGGAUCAUGGAAGAGAAAGAAACAGAUAAGAAUAAAGUUCUGAAAAGUGAGGCUUGUGACACUGACCCACCUUCCUUCUGGGGCCAUUUUCUUUAGGUGAGUCAUAUAGUGGGAUGUCCAUGGGCCAGACCAUUGA
rnacentral:lncRNA from 1 species